rnacentral:rRNA from 1 species
UACGUAGGGGGCAAGCGUUUGUCCGGAUUUAUUUGGGCGUAAAGCGCACGCAGGCGGUCUCUUAAGUUUCGAGUGACAGGUGGUGGCUUUAACUGCCACAGGCCUUUGGAAAACUGGGAGACUUGAGGGCGAAAGAGGGAUGCGGAAUUCCAGGUGGAGCGGUGAAAUGCGUAGAGAUCUGGAAGAACACCAAAGGCGAAGGCAG